UUAGGCAAAUAUCUAGAGGAGUUGACAUACCCCCGGAAGACCUCGGAGUACCCCAGGGUUGAGAACCACUGGCCUAAGGAUCCCAGAUGAGAUUUGAGCUCCAUCGUGCUGGGUGCUGUACAGACACAUAGCAAGAGAUAGACCCUUCCCCCCAAAACAGCAGUCUAAAUAGAGAACACGAACAAAGGUGGGGGAGGGGAAACUGAGGCCCAGAGAGGGGAUGUGACUUGCCCAAGGUCAAACAGCAGAUUGGUGGCAAAGCUGGAAUGGAACCCAGCUCUCCUGACUAGUGCCCUAUUUGCUGCCUUUCAUUAAUGAUGAAUUACUUUUUAUUUAUUUAUUUAUUUGGGUUCAUUUCCAGCCUGCAAAUAUGCCAUUGCAAACACAUUGCAUUGCUCCCUGUCUCUGCUGUACUAAUGCUGGAGCACAGAGAGCCUCAGCAAGGUUAAUUAAUUUGAGCGAAGGCUGAAGCCUAAAAGACGGGGAGCAACACACAGAGAUGAUGGCUGGCAAAAAUCAUUAGAAGCAUCUUUCAACAAUCUAUAUACUGUUAUCGAUCCUGUUAUAGAUCAUGUUCCUUUCCCCCUUUUUUUUUUGCAGGAUAUUCUGGAUCGAUAUGGCAAGUGCAUUGAGACUGCAGCAACACAUUUAAAACCUUAUAAAAGGUUAUUUAGUUGCUAACAGUGCAGCAGUUUCUGCAAAGCCUGCCAAAAGGUUACAGCUUUUUGGGCAUCAUAAAUUACAGACGACAGGGGAAAAAAAUGGACAAUGACUAGUAUCUAAUUAGGCCCGUGCCAACCCUGCAAGACAUGGUUCAUACAGGUGUCGGGGAGCAGAGCCCUGCACAGCUUGGAAUCAAAUCAAAGCAUCCUCUGCUGGCUCCCUUGCCAGUCCAAAUCUGGUACUUAUCCAGCACACUUCACUGAAGUGUUUGAGACACUCAUAAACAAUAGCAUGGCUGGAUCUGUCCUCACAGCUACACUGUGAAAGGAAGAGGCGUCAUUAUUCCUGUUUUAGAGAGGAAAAACUGAGGUGCAUAGAAGCAGGACCACGCCGUUUCCCUGACCCCACCUGCUGAGUGCCUCUGUAUCCACCGCAGAAUCUCUUUGUAAAGCUCACCUCCUUGGGAAAUCCCUCCUCCCGUUGUCUCCUCCUCAGAGCCUUCCCCGGCUGAAUCGUGCUGGGCCUGCCCCGACUACGAGCCUGCCUACCUGAGGGAGAUUUGCACCAGCGCGUAGCUUGCUUUGGUAGGUUCCUGGUGUAAGUCCCAUGAGCGCGGGCCCU